rnacentral:rRNA from 1 species
AUUGAACGCUGGCGGCAUGCCUUACACAUGCAAGUCGAACGGUAACGCGGGGCAACCUGGCGACGAGUGGCGAACGGGUGAGUAAUGUAUCGGAACGUGCCCAGUUGUGGGGGAUAACUGCUCGAAAGAGCAGCUAAUACCGCAUACGACCUGAGGGUGAAAGCGGGGGAUCGCAAGUCCUCGCGCAAUUGGAGCGGCCGAUAUCAGAUUAGGUAGUUGGUGAGGUAAAGGCUCACCAAGCCGACGAUCUGUAGCUGGUCUGAGAGGACGACCAGCCACACUGGGACUGAGACACGGCCCAGACUCCUACGGGAGGCAGCAGUGGGGAAUUUUGGACAAUGGACGCAAGUCUGAUCCAGCCAUGCCGCGUGCGGGAAGAAGGCCUUCGGGUUGUAAACCGCUUUUGUCAGGGAAGAAACGCUCUGGGUUAAUACCUCGGGGUAAUGACGGUACCUGAAGAAUAAGCACCGGCUAACUACGUGCCAGCAGCCGCCGUAAAAC